GAUGAACGCUGGCGGCGUGCCUAAUACAUGCAAGUCGAGCGAACGGACGAGAAGCUUGCUCUUCUGAUGUUAGCGGCGGACGGGUGAGUAACACGUGGAUAACCUACCUCUAAGACUGGGAUAACUUCGGGAAACCGGAGCUAAUAACGGAUCAUAUUUUGAACCGCAUGGUUCAAAAGUGAAAGACGGUCUUGCUGUCACUUAUAGAUGGAUCCGCGUUGCAUUAGCUAGUUGGUAAGGUAACGGCUUACCAAGGCAACGAUGCUUAGCUGACUGGAAAGGUGAAUCGGCAACAUGGGACUGAGGAAAGGUUCCAACUCCCAAGGGAGGGCAGCGGUGGGAAAUCUGCCGCAAUGGGCGAAGGCCGAACGAGGCAACGCGGGUGGGUGAAGAAGGGUCUUCGGUUCGAAAAACCCUUUUAUGGGGAAGAAACACAUGUGGAAGUAACUGUGCAGUUCUGGACGUAACCAAAGCAUAAGGCCAGGGCUAACUACUG
rnacentral:rRNA from 1 species